GACGAACGCUGGCGGCGUGCUUAACACAUGCAAGUCGAACGAGUGGCGAACGGGUGAGUAAUACGUGAGUAACCUGCCCUCUUUUUGGGAUAAGCCUUGGAAACGGGGUCUAAUACCGGAUAUAGGGGGAUGGUGGCGCGGCCUAUCAGCUGGUUGGUGGGGUGAUGGCCUACCAAGGCGGUGACGGGUAGCCGGCCUGAGAGGGUGACCUGCAACAUUGGGACGGAGAUAACGCCCAGGGUCGUACGCGGUGCAGCAGUGGGGGAUAUUGCACAAUGGGCGAAAGCCUGAUGCAGCGACGCCGCGUGAGGGAUGCGGGCUGUCGGGUUGUAAAACUCUUUCGCUAUCGAAGGGGUAGGUGGAGAAGAAGCGCCGGCUAACUACGUGCCAGCAGCCGCGGUAAUUC
rnacentral:rRNA from 1 species